rnacentral:rRNA from 1 species
CUACGGGGGGCUCCAGUGGGGAAUAUUGGACAAUGGGCGCAAGCCUGAUCCAGCAAUACCGCGUGUGUGAAGAAGGCCUUAGGGUUGUAAAGCACUUUCAAUGGGAAGGAAUACCUAUCGGCAAAUACCCGGUAGACUGACAUUACCCAUACAAGAAGCACCGGCUAACUCCGUGCCAGCAGCCGCGGUAAUACGGAGGGUGCAAGCGUUAAUCAGAAUUACUGGGCGUAAAGCGUGCGUAGGCGGCUCGUUAAGUCAGAUGUGAAAGCCCCGGGCUCAACCUGGGAACUGCAUUUGAAACUGGCGAGCUAGAGUUGAGUAGAGGAGAGUGGAAUUCCAGGUGUAGCGGUGAAAUGCGUAGAGAUCUGAAGGAACAUCAGUGGCGAAGGCGACUCUCUGGACUCAAACUGACGCUGAGGUACGAAAGCGUGGGUAGCAAACAGGGUUAGAUACCCGAGUAGUC